AUGAACGCUGGCGGCGUGCCUAAUCCAUGCCAGUCGCGCGAACAGACGAGAGUGCUUGCACUCUCUGACGUUAGCGGCGGACGGGUGAGUAACACGUGGGUAACCUACCUAUAAGACUGGGAUAACUUCGGGAAACCGGAGCUAAUACCGGAUAAUAUUUAGCUUCGCAUGAAGCAAUAGUGAAAGACGGUUCUGCUGUCACUUAUAGAUGGACCCGCGGUGUAUUAGCUAGUUGGUGAGGUAACGGCUCACCAAGGCAACGAUACAUAGCCGACCUGAGAGGGUGAUCGGCCACACUGGGACUGAGACACGGCCCAGACUCCUACGGGAGGCAGCAGUAGGGAAUCUUCCGCAAUGGACGAAAGUCUGACGGAGCAAUGCCGCGUGAGUGAAGAAGGUUUUCGGAUCGUAAAACUCUGUUGUAAGGGAAGAACAAGUACGUUAGUAACUGAACGUACCUUGACGGUACCUUACCAGAAAGCCACGGCUAACUACGUG
rnacentral:rRNA from 1 species